rnacentral:rRNA from 1 species
UACGUAGGGUGCAAGCGUUAAUCGGAAUUACUGGGCGUAAAGCGUGCGCAGGCGGUGAUGUAAGACAGAUGUGAAAUCCCCGGGCUCAACCUGGGAACUGCAUUUGUGACUGCAUCGCUGGAGUGCGGCAGAGGGGGAUGGAAUUCCGCGUGUAGCAGUGAAAUGCGUAGAUAUGCGGAGGAACACCGAUGGCGAAGGCAAUCCCCUGGGCCCGCACUGACGCUCAUGCACGAAAGCGUGGGGAGCAAACAGG